rnacentral:rRNA from 1 species
CCUACGGGAGGCAGCAGUGAGGAAUAUUGGUCAAUGGGAGAGAUCCUGAACCAGCCAAGCCGCGUGAGGGAAGACGGCCCUAUGGGUUGUAAACCUCUUUUGUCGGAGAACAAAACCCGGGACGUGUCCCGGACUGCGUGUAUCCGAAGAAAAAGCAUCGGCUAACUCCGUGCCAGCAGCCGCGGUAAUACGGAGGAUGCGAGCGUUAUCCGGAUUUAUUGGGUUUAAAGGGUGCGUAGGCGGUCCGUUAAGUCAGCGGGAAAAUUGCGGGGCUAAACCCUGUCGAGCCGUUGAAACUGGCAGACUUGAGUUGGCGAGAAGUACGCGGAAUGCGCGGUGUAGCGGUGAAAUGCAUAGAUAUCGCGCAGAACUCCGAGUGCGAAGGCAGCGUACCGGCGCCAGACUGACGCUGAGGCACGAAAGCGUGGGGAUCGAACAGGAUUAGAUACCCUGGUAGUC